ACAGACCUGGCUGCCCCCAGGAUGUGGGUGCAUCCUCACGGUGGGGGUCCAGAUUGGCCCACGCGCUCUGUUGCGGGCAGUGCCGAAUGCUGUGUCACUUGGCUACCAUGAUGUUUUAGCAGGAGGCAGCUGCCUGAAGAGGAUUCCUCCCAAUACGACGUCUACAGCUUUACUGCAGGAGACAGAUAAAUUGCUGUUGCUUUUAAAAGCCAUUUCCCUCACUAGGAGCGACUUGUAACCAAAGGAAAAUCUCCGAAAAGUUAAACAAUUAGCCAGUGGAAUCGCAUUGCUUCCUACCUGCCCAUCAAUCGCAAAUGGAGGAGAACUCUCAUAUGCUUGGGAGCUUUGCCAGGGGAGGCAGUUCAGGUUCAGUAAGCCCACCUGGGCAGGGUCCAGCACCAUCCUUCUCUUUCCCGAGGACCAGCAGUGAGAAUUAAGCCAGUGCUGCCCAUUCAUGUGACAGGGUGAGCGGUGAGUCGCGACAGAGCGCCGGUGACGAUGCUGAGGUUCACCUGGGCCCUGCGUUCCUGGAGAGCAGUGAGGGGGCCCUUCUGAGGAUCGGUUGAUGGCAAAACAAACAAACAAAAACCCUAAAAACGCUUCCGGCUCCCGUGACAGAUCAGGCCACCGGCUCACCCACCCAUCACAACCUGUUCGCCCCCUCACAAAAGCCCUUCUCCACGAACUGCAAACGUUCCUCUUGACAAGCUCCUCGCUCCUGUCCAACUUGCAGUUGUUUCUUUGACAUUGUUUUCGGAAGGAUGGAAGGUGAAACCUAACUCCCGCUUGAGGCUUAAACACAGUUUACCAGGCAUGUGGCAACAAGGGGUUAGAAAACCCGCUCAGAUGAAAGGAACUGGCACUUGCUUCUCGGUCUGCCUGCAUGUGCUCUGCUGGAAUCCUGGGUUGGCUGCCCCAAAAUGUAGUGCAAUAGCAUAAUGGUUGUUUUUAAGAUUUUUUUUUUAUGAACCAUUUUUAAAGUCAUUAUUGAAUGUGUGACAAUG